rnacentral:SRP_RNA from 1 species
GCCGGGCAUGGUGGUGCAUGCCUGUGGUCCCAGCUACUUGGGAGGCUGAGGCAGGAGAAUCACUUGAACCUGGGAGGCAGAGGUUGCAGUGAGUUGAGAUCAUGCCACUGCACUCCUGCCUGGAUGACAGAGUGAGACUCUGUCUCAA